rnacentral:lncRNA from 1 species
ACUCUUUGCUCUGAUAGGCUGGGAUCAUCUGUCAGCUCAAUGCGCGCACCUCUGUCCUGGCAGCAGCAAAUCCCAUUGAGUCUCAGUGGAAUCCUAAAAAAACAACCAUUGAAAACAUCCAGCUGCCUCAUACUUUAUUAUCAAGGUUUGAUUUGAUCUUCCUCUUGCUGGACCCUCAGGACGAAGCCUAUGACAGGCGUCUGGCUCACCACCUGGUCGCACUGUACUACCAGAGCGAGGAGCAGGCAGAGGAGGAGCUCCUGGACAUGGCGGUGCUAAAGGACUACAUUGCCUACGCGCACAGCACCAUCAUGCCGCGGCUAAGUGAGGAAGCCAGCCAGGCUCUCAUCGAGG